AGAGACAGAGAGCGAGCGAGGGACAGAGAGAGCGAGAGAGCGUGAAAGAGCUCAUGAAGCAACAGAGUCUUUCCAGAGGAGGAGUGAAGGAAAGAUAAGGACCCACAGCAGGAGGAGGAGAUGAUGAACUAGCCUAUAUUAAUACAACAGGCAGAGAGCACAAAAACACAGCACGAGUCCUUUGUAAGUGGAGAUAAAUAGUGUUGCUAUUGCACAACCGCUGCCUUUUCCACUGGCACCAAGAGACGACUACAGCUACUACUAACUGGGAGAGAAGCAAGAAUAAAAGGAGAGAGUAAGAGUGGAGUGAGAGACAGUGGAAAGCAAACCAAUGACAGCUGGAGAAAGCUCACUUCCAGCCCGAUUUGAUUCCUUUCUGAAACCCAGAACAGACUGUACAGAGGACAGCAGUGCAGCGGAUGGGCUUUCGGUCAUCUCUUGGCUUCGAUGCUAAUCACUACUUGAGAACUUAUCUCUGCUAACCCUAAUCUUGAAAAGACCGCUGGGUCGAGGCGGCGAGGUCACCACCUCCUGUCUCACUGCUGGCUCCAACUCACCCAGCAACACACAGGGAACUCGCUCUCCACACUCACUCAGCAAAGUGGUCACAUCACCCAACCUGCACCCAGAUACUACAGAGUUGCACCCACCCUCAGUGUGAGUGACAUGAUGGAUGCCAGGGAGGAGAUGCUGACCCUGCUACAGAAGCUCUGGGCCAAACUGCAGGAUCUCCCCACCGCCAGCCCUCUGGAGAUGGGGGCCUUCGCUGUCCUCGUCAUCUUUAUCGUGGUCUUCCUGCUCAUGCUGCUGAUGACCUGUUUGACGUGCUGCUGCUGUCACAGGACCAGAACCAAGGGGCCACAUAGUCAGCUAACCUGAGCCAAUCCCCACUUCCCCCAAUAAUGAGGAGAGACAUUAUAAACAGGCACUCUAUGGACCUCUAAACCCCAGAAGAAUGAGGACCCAUGCAGAGUGGUGUGAACUGAAAACCCUCUGUCACCACUGUGUCACCAGGAGAGACAUUCUGGAGAGGCACUCUAUGGGCCUCUUAAAACCUGUUGGGGCUCGGGGGCAGUAUUGAGACAUUUUGAAAAAAAAUGUGUGCCCAUUUUUAACUGCCUCCUACACCAACUCAGAAGCUAGG